UACAGAGGUCCCAAGCGUUGUUCGGAUUCACUGGGCGUAAAGGGCGCGUAGGCGGCUUGUCAAGUCAGGGGUGAAAUCUUUCGGCUUAACCGGAAAACAGCCCCUGAUACUGAUAGGCUAGAGGGAGGUAGGGGCAUGUGGAACUCCAGGUGGAGCGGUGAAAUGCGUAGAUAUCUGGAGGAACACCGGUGGCGAAGGCGACGUCCUGGACCGGCAUUGACGCUGAGGCGCGAAAGCCAGGGGAGCAAGCGGG
rnacentral:rRNA from 1 species